CAGAAAAUGGAGAGGUUGCCACUUUCACACAGCAACUGCCAUGCAGAAAAAGGAGUUGAGAAGGGAAUCACACAGAAGGAGAGAAAAUGCCUAAACAGCUCCAACUGUGGCAGCCAUACCAGCCCAGAUGCCAGACAGUGAAUGAAGAUGGGCAUCCCAUUCCCAGCAGAAGUGAUGUGAAGAACCAACAAAACCCACAGACAGCCCUAGAUAUACACCUCCAGGUGACCAACCCAGACAUCACCAACAGUUAGCACUGCUCCAGUUGAAUACUCCCCAACAAAAAAUCUAUCCUUUCUAUGUGUUGCCUGAAUUCAUUACCAACAAAGGUAUGAACAUAAUAAAAUGAUUGCUAUUUUACGUCACUUAA